rnacentral:rRNA from 1 species
AGACGUUGGCGGCGUGCCUACUACUUGCACGUCGAGCGAAUGGAUUAAGAGCUUGCUCUUAUGAAGUUAGCGGCGGACGGGUGAGUAACACGUGGGUAACCUGCCCAUAAGACUGGGAUAACUCCGGGAAACCGGGGCUAAUACCGGAUAACAUUUUGAACCGCAUGGUUCGAAAUUGAAAGGCGGCUUCGGCUGUCACUUAUGGAUGGACCCGCGUCGCAUUAGCUAGUUGGUGAGGUAACGGCUCACCAAGGCAACGAUGCGUAGCCGACCUGAGAGGGUGAUCGGCCACACUGGGACUGAGACACGGCCCAGACUCCUACGGGAGGCAGCAGUAGGGAAUCUUCCGCAAUGGACGAAAGUCUGACGGAGCAACGCCGCGUGAGUGAUGAAGGCUUUCGGGUCGUAAAACUCUGUUGUUAGGGAAGAACAAGUGCUAGUUGAAUAAGCUGGCACCUUGACGGUACCUAACCAGAAAGCCACGGCUAACUACGUGCCAGCAGCCGCGGUAAUACGUAGGUGGCAAGCGUUAUCCGGAAUUAUUGGGCGUAAAGCGCGCGCAGGUGGUUUCUUAAGUCUGAUGUGAAAGCCCACGGCUCAACCGUGGAGGGUCAUUGCAAACUGGGAGACUUGAGUGCAGAAGAGGAAAGUGGAAUUCCAUGUGUAGCGGUGAAAUGCGUAGAGAUAUGGAAGGAACACCAGUUG